GAGGGUAUAGCUUAGUAGUAGAGCACACGCUUAGCGUGCACGAGGUCCUGGGUUCAAUCCCCAGUACCUACA
rnacentral:tRNA from 1 species